GAUGAACGCUGGCGGCGUGCCUAAUACAUGCAAGUCGAGCGAACAGACGAGGAGCUUGCUCCUCUGACGUUAGCGGCGGACGGGUGAGUAACACGUGGAUAACCUACCUAUAAGACUGGGAUAACUUCGGGAAACCGGAGCUAAUACCGGAUAACAUGUUGAACCGCAUGGUUUAACAGUGAAAGACGGUCUUGCUGUCACUUAAAGAUGGAUCCGCGCCGCAUUAGCUAGUUGGUAAGGUAACGGCUUACCAAGGCAACGAUGCGUAGCCGACCUGAGAGGGUGAUCGGCCACACUGGAACUGAGACACGGUCCAGACUCCUACGGGAGGCAGCAGUAGGGAAUCUUCCGCAAUGGGCGAAAGCCUGACGGAGCAACGCCGCGUGAGUGAAGAAGGUCUUCGGAUCGUAAAACUCUGUUAUUAGGGAAGAACAAAUGUGUAAGUAACUAUGCACGUCUUGACGGUACCUAAUCAGAAAGCCACGGCUAACUACGU
rnacentral:rRNA from 1 species